AUAAUGACUGGAAAAAAUCAAAAAUGACAAAACAAUCACCUCAUUGUCAAACUCUUUUUCCUUUUUUUUCUUCUUGUCGUCGUUGCUU
rnacentral:ribozyme from 15 species